rnacentral:piRNA from 1 species
UGGCUGCUUUGCUUGAUGCGUCUUUAGCUGU